CCCAGUGCAGUGGUGUUUACAACUAAUUGAUCACAACCAGUUACAGGUUCCUUUGUUCCUUCUCCACUCCCACUGCUUCACUUG
ensembl:misc_RNA Y_RNA Y RNA